rnacentral:rRNA from 1 species
GAUGAACGCUAGCGGCAGGCUUAAUACAUGCAAGUCGAGGGGCAGCAGGUCCCGCAGCAAUGCGGGAUGCUGGCGACCGGCAAACGGGUGCGGAACACGUACAGAACCUUCCUUUAAGUGGGGAAUAGCCCGGGUAAACCCGGAUUAAUACCCCGUAACAUAAUGAAGUGGCAUCACUUUAUUAUUAUAGCAGCAAUGCGCGUGAAGAUGGCUGUGCGGCUGAUUAGGUAGUUGGCGGGGUAACGGCCCACCAAGCCUACGAUCAGUAACUGGUGUGAGAGCACGACCAGUCACACGGGCACUGAGACACGGGCCCGAAUCCUACGGGAGGCAGCAGUAAGGAAUAUUGGGCAAUGGACGCAAGUCUGACCCAGCCAUGCCGCGUGGAGGAUGAAGGUCCUCUGGAUUGUAAACUUCUUUUAUCUAGGAAGAAAUCUAUUUUUUCUAAAGUAGUUGACGGUACCAGAUGAAUAAGCACCGGCUAACUCCGUGCCAGCAGCCGCCGUAA